UGAAGUUGUCAAAUGGAACAUCCACGUCAAAGGGACAAAGUAGCUGAAACCGAAAGAUAAUCGAAUUGUUUUCCUCAAACUUAUCACAAUUUUAUUAUAACAAACUCCACAGAAUGGAUUCGCUCAUGGAACCAACGCUAUACACAAUCAAGGGAAUGUGCAUUUUGGACAAUGACGGCAACCGAAUAUUGGCUAAAUAUUACGAUAAAAGCGUAUUCCCUACAGUGAAAGAACAGAAGGCAUACGAGAAAAAUUUAUUCAACAAGACGCAUCGGGCCAAUGCGGAAAUUAUAAUGCUAGAUGGACUCACCUGUGUGUACAAAAGCAAUGUCGAUCUGUUUUUCUACGUGAUGGGCAGCACCCACGAAAAUGAGCUGAUUCUGCUCUCGGUGCUGAAUUGCCUCUUCGAUACGGUGACAAUGAUUCUGAAGAAGAACGUGGAGAAAAGGGCGGUGCUGGAAAACUUAGAUAUUGUAAUGCUUGCCUUCGACGAGAUUUGUGACGGUGGAAUUAUCCUAGACGCAGAUCCAUCAUCGGUGGUGAAAAGAGUCGACUUACGGAACGACGAUAUACCGAUUGGUGAGCAAACCGUUGCACAGGUAACUAACGCUAUCCAUGGACUGUUUUGGUGAUCAGAAUCUGCAAUUCCUACAAAAAAAAAUCAUACUCACAUAUCACAGUAUUUGUUAGAUUGUUAGGAAACUGCAUGACACUGAUAGUGCACACGUUCUUGUUCUACAAUCCGCUAGAGAACAAUUAAAAUGGUCCCUCCUAAAGUAAAUCGUUUAUGAUUGCAAACCGUGCCGGUACUGAACGAUUUCAGUGACAUUUUAGAAACACUGCGUCGUCUAUCGAGCAUAAUCUUACAUUCGGAUAAUAAGUUAUACAUUCUAUAAUAAUAGUUUAGCUGGAAAUAUAGUGUUACAAACACAAAAAUACAUAAUA